AUGUUCUCUGCAUCUUUACUGUUACUGCUGGCAGCUGCAUCCUGUGUAAUAGGUCAGACACUGACUGAGUCUGAACCAGUGGUCAUUAAACCUGGUGGAUCUCAUAAACUGACCUGUACAGCCACUGGGUUUAAUUUUGGUUACUACUGGAUGGCUUGGAUCAGACAGGCUCCUGGGAAAGGACUGGAAUGGGUGUCAACUAUGGGUGGCAGUAGCAGCAUAUAUUACUCCACUGCUGUUCAGGGAAGGUUCAUCAUCUCCAGAGACAACAGUAAGAAUCAGCUCUAUCUACAGAUGAACAGUCUGAAGACUGAAGACACAGCUGUGUAUUACUGUGCCAGACCCCCAACUGAGCGCUGCUGUGUUGGAGUUUGUCCUGGUGAACAAAAGGGUCGCCUCACUGUGCUUCGGGUUGCAGGGGGCAAAUCUCUGACUGUCAUGAUGGCGUACGGCAGCUCAGAGUACCCAGCCUUCCUAGAGACAUUGGAAAGUGUCCUGGUGAAGACACCAUCUAGGGACUCUGUAGUUCUACAGGGAGACAAUGCUCACGUGGGUUCUGAAGAGGUGGGUUUUCAGUUUCCUGGGGAAGAUGGUGAGAGAUUCCGCAGUCCUAACUGA